UAGCCUUGACAUUGAAAGAAUCUUCCAGAGAUGGAGGAGUGCCCUUCGGGGAACUUGAAAAC
rnacentral:rRNA from 1 species